rnacentral:tRNA from 1 species
GCCAGCAUGGCUUAAUGGGUAAGGCGUCUGGUUUCAGUUCAGGAGGUUAAGGGCUUGAGUCACUUUGUGGUU